rnacentral:rRNA from 1 species
UACGGGAGGCAGCAGUGGGGAAUAUUGCACAAUGGGCGAAAGCCUGAUGCAGCUAUGCCGCGUGUAUGAAGAAGGCCUUAGGGUUGUAAAGUACUUUCAUCGGGGAGGAAAAAACAAAACUAAUAAUUUUAUUUCUUGACGUUACCCGAAAAAGAAGCACCGGCUAACUCCGUGCCAGCAGCCGCGGUAAUACGGAGGGUGCUAGCGUUAAUCAGAAUUACUGGGCGUAAAGAGCACGUAGGUGGUUUUUUAAGUCAGAUGUGAAAUCCCUGGGCUUAACCUAGGAACUGCAUUUUGAAACUGAAAUACUAGAGUAUCGUAGAGGGAGGUAGAAUUCUAGGUGUAGCGGUGAAAUGCGUAGAUAUCUGGAGGAAUACCUGUGGCGAAAGCGGCCUCCUAAACGAAUACUGACACUGAGGUGCGAAAGCGUGGGGAGCAAACAGGGAUUAGAUACC